ACAGCAGUCGCCACGGUAAUACAGAGGGUGCGAGCGUUAAUCGGAUUUACUGGGCGUAAAGCGUGCGUAGGCGGCUAAUUGAGUCGGAUGUGAAAUCCCCGAGCUUAACUUGGGAAUUGCAUUCGAUACUGGUUAGCUAGAGUGUGGGAGAGGAUGGUAGAAUUCCAGGUGUAGCGGUGAAAUGCGUAGAGAUCUGGAGGAAUACCGAUGGCGAAGGCAGCCAUCUGGCCUAACACUGACGCUGAGGUACGAAAGCAUGGGGAGCAAACAGGAUUAGAUACCCCCGUAGUCCCUGUCUCUUAUAA
rnacentral:rRNA from 1 species